rnacentral:rRNA from 1 species
GACGAACGCUGGCGGCGUGCUUAACACAUGCAAGUCGAACGGAAAGGCCCUGCUUUUGUGGGGUGCUCGAGUGGCGAACGGGUGAGUAACACGUGAGUAACCUGCCCUUGACUUUGGGAUAACUUCAGGAAACUGGGGCUAAUACCGGAUAGGAGCUCCUGCUGCAUGGUGGGGGUUGGAAAGUUUCGGCGGUUGGGGAUGGACUCGCGGCUUAUCAGCUUGUUGGUGGGGUAGUGGCUUACCAAGGCUUUGACGGGUAGCCGGCCUGAGAGGGUGACCGGCCACAUUGGGGCUGAGAUACGGCCCAGACUCCUACGGGAGGCAGCAGUGGGGAAUAUUGCACAAUGGGCGGAAGCCUGAUGCAGCAACGCCGCGUGCGGGAUGACGGCCUUCGGGUUGUAAACCGCUUUCGCCUGUGACGAAGCGUGAGUGACGGUAAUGGGUAAAGAAGCACCGGCUAACUAUGUG